rnacentral:rRNA from 1 species
AUUGAACGCUGGCUGCAGGCAUAACACAUGCAAGUCGAACGAGUGGCUGACGGGUGAUUAAUCCCUGGGGAACUGCCUGAGGGUGGGGGAUAACUACUGGAAACGGUAGCUAAUACGGCAUACCAUCGGCAGUGCCCAGAUGGGUUUAGCGAGUAGGUGGGGUGACGGCUCACCGAGGCGACGAUCCCUAGCUGGUCUGAGAGGAUGACCGGCGGCACUGUAAGAGGUGCACAGUCCAGAGACCUACGGGAUGCAGCGCAGAGGAAAAUUGCACAAUGGGCACAGGCCGUAUGCAGGGAUGCCGCGGGUAUGAAAAAAGCCUUCAGGUUGUAAAGUACUUUAAGCGAGGAGGAGUUACUCGCAGAAGAAGCGCCGGCUAACUCCGUGCCAGCCGCCGCGGUAAUAC